rnacentral:rRNA from 1 species
GACGAACGCUGGCGGCGUGCUUAACACAUGCAAGUCGAACGGAAAGGCCCUGCUUUUGUGGGGUGCUCGAUUGGCGAACGCGUGCGUAACACGUGAGUAACCUGCCCUUGACUUUGGGAUAACUUCAGGAAACUGGGGCUAAUACCGUAUAGGAGCUCCUGCUGCAUGGUGGGGGUUGGAAAGUUUCGGCUGUUGGGGAUGGACUCGCGGCUUAUCAGCUUGUUGGUGGGGUAGUGGCUUGCCAAGGCUUUGACGGGUCGCCGGCAUGAGUGGGGGACCGGCGACAUGGGGACUGCGAGACGGCGCAGACGGCAACGGGAGGCAGCAGUGGGGAAUAUUGCACAGCGGGAGCAAGCGUGAGGCAGAAACGCCGCGGUCGGGAUGACGGCCUUCGGGGUGAAAACCGCUUUCGCCUGUGACGAAGCGGGAGUGACGGUAAUGGAUAAAGAAGCACCGGCUAACUACGUG